rnacentral:rRNA from 1 species
AGUGGCGAACGGGUGAGUAGUAUAUCGGAACGUGCCCAGUAGUGGGGGAUAGCCCGGCGAAAGCCGGAUUAAUACCGCACACGACCUGAGGGUGAAAGCGGGGGAUCGCAAGACCUCGCGCUAUUGGAGCGGCCGAUAUCAGAUUAGCUAGUUGGUGGGGUAAAGGCCUACCAAGGCUACGAUCUGUAGUUGGUCUGUGAGGACGACCAGCCACACUGGGACUGAGACACGGCCCAGACUCCUACGGGAGGCAGCAGUGGGGAAUUUUGGACAAUGGGCGCAAGCCUGAUCCAGCAAUGCCGCGUGCAGGAAGAAGGCCUUCGGGUUGUAAACUGCUUUUGUCAGGGAAGAAAUCUUCUGGGCUAAUACCCCGGGAGGAUGACGGUACCUGAAGAAUAAGCACCGGCUAACUACGUGCCAGCAGCCGCGGUAAUACGUAGGGUGCGAGCGUUAAUCGGAAUUACUGGGCGUAAAGCGUGCGCAGGCGGCUUUGCAAGACAGAUGUGAAAUCCCCGGGCUCAACCUGGGAACUGCAUUUGUGACUGCAAGGCUAGAGUACGGCAGAGGGGGAUGGAAUUCCGCGUGUAGCAGUGAAAUGCGUAGAUAUGCGGAGGAACACCAAUGGCGAAGGCAAUCCCCUGGGCCUGUACUGACGCUCAUGCACGAAAGCAUGGGGAGCGAACAGGAUUAGAUACCCUGGUAGUCCAUGCCGUAAACGUUGGGCACUGGGUGUGGGGGGACAUUCCACGUUUUCCGCGCCGUAGCUAACGCAUUAAGUGCCCCGCCUG